rnacentral:rRNA from 1 species
ACGCCUACGGGACGCAGCAGUGAGGAAUAUUGGUCAAUGGGCGCGCGCCUGCACAAGCCAAGUCGCGUGAGGGAAGACGGUCCUAUGGAUUGUAAACCUCUUUUGUCGGGGAGAAAAAGACGCCACGCGUGGCGUUCCGAGAGUACCCGAAGAAAAAGCAUCGGCUAACUCCGUGCCAGCAGCCGCGGUAAUACGGAGGAUGCGAGCGUUAUCCGGAUUUAUUGGGUUUAAAGGGUGCGCAGGCGGAAAAGCAAGUCAGCGGUAAAAU